CCUACGGGUGGCAGCAGUGAGGAAUAUUGGUCAAUGGCCGGGAGGCUGAACCAGCCAAGUCGCGUGAGGGAAGACGGCCCUACGGGUUGUAAACCUCUUUUGUCAGGGAGUAAGGUGCAGGUCGGGACCUGCUGUGAGAGUACCUGAAGAAAAAGCAUCGGCUAACUCCGUGCCAGCAGCCGCGGUAAUACGGAGGAUCCGAGCGUUAUCCGGAUUUAUUGGGUUUAAAGGGAGCGUAGAUGGGUUGUUAAGUCAGUUGUGAAAGUUUGCGGCUCAACCGUAAAAUUGCAAUUGAUACUGGCAGCCUUGAGUACAGUUGAGGUAGGCGGAAUUCGUGGUGUAGCGGUGAAAUGCAUAGAUAUCACGCAGAACUCCGAUUGCGAAGGCAGCAUACCGGCGCCCAACUGACGCUGAAGCACGAAAGCGUGGGUAUCGAACAGGAUUAGAUACCCGUGUAGUC
rnacentral:rRNA from 1 species